CAGUCGCCGCGGUAAUACGGAGGGUGCAAGCGUUAAUCGGAAUUACUGGGCGUAAAGCGCACGCAGGCGGUCUGUCAAGUCAGAUGUGAAAUCCCCGGGCUUAACCUGGGAACUGCAUUUGAAACUGGCAGGCUAGAGUCUUGUAGAGGGGGGUAGAAUUCCAGGUGUAGCGGUGAAAUGCGUAGAGAUCUGGAGGAAUACCGGUGGCGAAGGCGGCCCCCUGGACAAAGACUGACGCUCAGGUGCGAAAGCGUGGGGAGCAAACAGGAUUAGAGACCCGCGUAGUCCCUGUCUCUUAUAU
rnacentral:rRNA from 1 species